CUGAAAUACAAUUUUGAAAAAUUGCCAUUAAAAGAUACAUACACAGUCUUUGCAGUAAGCAUUAUAUACACUUUUGCAAGAGUAUGGACAGGACCAGGUUGUCUUACUCUUGCUUUUGGGAGUCUGGUAAGAUGCACAACCUUAACAUAGUGGUCUCCAGAGAGACAAAGGCUUACCAAAAACAAAUUAAAAUGAAGUUCAGGACACAGAAAUCCAAGGCCUGUUUAUGCAUUAGUUUGUUUGGUUUAGCAGCAGUUACUGAGGACUAGAAAAAGUUAAGUAUUCUGAGGGAAAUGGUGCCACGGACUGCAUUUCUUGUGUCCCUUGUCAAAAAAAAAAAAAAAAAAAAGUACUAAAAGCACUGAGUGGGUGGUGGUGGUUUUUUUUGGUGUUUUAGUUUUGGUUUUGUGGUGGUGGUGGUGAAUGGGGGUAUACCAAGGUAGCAGAGGCCUAAUUUGAUUACCAGAGGUCAAGUCUAGAAGCAUUGGGUGCUGAGGAUGUCAAGGACCAAGAACACCAUCAUAAGCCUGGGUUAUGGCUGAAAUGGCAGAGAAACCCUGAAAACACCAAAUAGCUGUAUCCUAACUAUACAGCUGAAGUUGGGAUUGUAGGACUUGGAAACCAGACUGCUAGGAGAGGCUCUGUGGAGAAGACCUGAGGCGAGACUCCCUGGGCCUUUGUCCCAAGCAGCGGAGUAACAUUUACCUCAGGCCCUCAGCGUUGGCCUGAGCAAUGGUGUCCCCACACCUGUGUUGGCCUUUUGCCUGGCUGACGGGACAUCUCAGCCUGCCCUCACUGUGGACCAGUGUGGUGGCCAGUGGCCAACCUCAGUUAUUCCCACCACUGGCACCACUCUCCCUGUCAGAUGCAGAGGGCUGCAACUGGUGCGUGAGGACCCCAGGAGGCCAUUUUACCUCUCCUCUGCUGCUCCUCAACAGGAUUUUCCUCAGAGCUGCUUAUGCUCUUCGCCUCCCCACAAGCUUCCCAGCACAGCAGCAGGAGACAAAGGCUGCCUUCCCUGCAGGCCUGUGUGGGAGAGGUCGGGUUUGGCAUACUGUUAUGAGGCCUGACUCAUGGCCUAUGUCCUGCUACAAAGUGCCUCCCACCUUUGAAAAGAAAUCUGAUUGCCCCGUUCCAGUGGCCCCUGACCUCAGGCCCCGGAAGAUCCUUCUUCAUCAGCACAAAGACUUUUAUUUCCAGCAGGUCUUCACUAUGAUGAAUUUAUCUACGCAUUUGAAUCAGAAGCAAGCAAAAUAUGUUCAAAAUUAA
rnacentral:lncRNA from 1 species